AUUCUAUGAUGAGGACAAUUCCAUAAUAAUUCUUUGUACCUUUCCCAUGCCUCAUACAAUGAUUCAUCAUCCAUUUGUUGUAAAAUGUGAUCUAGUUCCUCAACUU